CUUUUUGAUUAUAAUUAAAAGUCUAAUCUGCACAAUGAAUAUUAAAUUGCCGCAGUAUUUUGACUGUGCAAAGGUAGCAUAAUAAUUAGUUUCUUGAUUAGAAACUGGAAUGAAUGAUUGGACGAGAAAAUUUCUGUCUCUUUCUAAAGAAUUUUUGAAUUUUAUUUUUGAGUUAAAAAGCUCAAAUAUUUAUAAAAGACGAGAAGACCCUAUAGAGUUUAAUAUUUCUUUGUUGAUUAAAUAUUAGAAAGAUUUUUUGAUGAGAAGUAUUUGGUUGGGGUGAUUUAGGGAUUUAUAAAAUUCUUUAAUAUUUUAAUUGAUGAUUAUUAAAUUUUUUAUCUAAAUUUUUUAAAUUUAAAACUAAUUACCUUAGGGAUAACAGCGUAAUUUUUCUUUAAAGCUCUUAUUGAAAGAAGAUUUUGCGACCUCGAUGUUGGAUUAAAAUAAAUUUUUGGUGCAGUAACUUAAAAAUUGGGUCUGUUCGACCUUUAAUAUUUUACAUGAUCUGAGUUUAAACCGGUGUAAGCCAGGUUGGAUUCUAUCUUUAAAUUAAUUUUAUAUUUUAGUACGAAAGGACCAAAUAUAUAUUAUAUAUUAAUUA
rnacentral:rRNA from 1 species